GACGAACGCUGGCGGCGUGCCUAACACAUGCAAGUCGAACGGGGCCCGCAAGGGUUCAGUGGCGAACGGGUGCGUAACACGUGAAGAAUUUGUCCAUCGGCGGGGGAUAGCCGGCCCAACGGCCGGGUAAUACCGCGUACGACCCUCGGGGGGCAUCCCCUGAAGGUGAAAGCCGCAAGGCACCGAUGGAGAACUUCGCGGCCUAUCAGCUAGUUGGUGAGGUCAUGGCUCACCAAGGCGACGACGGGAGCUGGUCCGAGAGGAUGACCAGCCACAUUGGGACUGAGACACGGCCCAGACUCCUACGGGAGGCAGCAGUGGGGAAUAUUGCGCAAUGGGGACGAAAGCCUGACGCAGCGACGCCGCGUGU
rnacentral:rRNA from 1 species